rnacentral:rRNA from 1 species
UGGGGAAUUUUGGACAAUGGGGGCAACCCUGAUCCAGCAAUGCCGCGUGUGUGAAGAAGGCCUUCGGGUUGUAAAGCACUUUUGUCCGGAAAGAAAACUUCGGGGCUAAUACCCCUGGAGGAUGACGGUACCGGAAGAAUAAGCACCGGCUAACUACGUGCCAGCAGCCGCGGUAAUACGUAGGGUGCGAGCGUUAAUCGGAAUUACUGGGCGUAAAGCGUGCGCAGGCGGUGCUGUAAGACCGAUGUGAAAUCCCCGGGCUUAACCUGGGAGCUGCAUUGGUGACUGCAGCGCUGGAGUAUGGCAGAGGGGGGUGGAAUUCCACGUGUAGCAGUGAAAUGCGUAGAGAUGUGGAGGAACACCGAUGGCGAAGGCAGCCCCCUGGGCCAAUACUGACGCUCAUGCACGAAAGCGUGGGGAGCAAACAGG